rnacentral:rRNA from 1 species
UACGGGGGGGGCAAGCGUUGUUCGGAAUUACUGGGCGUAAAGGGCGCGUAGGCGGUUUGCUAAGUUGGAUGUGAAAACUCUGGGCUUAACCCAGAGCCUGCAUUCAAAACUGACAGGCUAGAGUUCUGGAGGGGAUAGCGGAAUUCCUGGUGUAGCGGUGAAAUGCGUAGAUAUCAGGAGGAACACCGGUGGCGAAGGCGGCUAUCUGGACAGAAACUGACGCUGAGGCGCGAAAGCUAGGGGAGCAAAC